rnacentral:rRNA from 1 species
UACGGAGGGAGCUAGCGUUGUUCGGAAUUACUGGGCGUAAAGCGCACGUAGGCGGCUUUGUAAGUUAGAGGUGAAAGCCUGGGGCUCAACUCCAGAACUGCCUUUAAAACUGCAUCGCUUGAAUCCAGGAGAGGUGAGUGGAAUUCCGAGUGUAGAGGUGAAAUUCGUAGAUAUUGGGAAGAACACCGGUGGCGAAGGCGGCGAGCUGGCCUGUGACUGACGCUGAGGCGCGACAGCGUGGGGAGCAAACAGG